rnacentral:tRNA from 1 species
GGGCGUUCUGUGAAAUCCAAGAGCAGCAGGGCUGGGAGCUCGCUUCCAGCAGACCUUGACAUGGUGGGGGUCGUUGGUUCGAGUCCAAUCGCGCCUACCA